AUUUUUAUCGUGUGUGGCGACUAAAUCAUGCCCAUAUUAAUAAGCACGUGCUGAAAUUGGGAGAUGCAUGCACUUUCUUCCUUUCAAAUGAGGGAUAUAUAAAUAAAAGUCCACAUGUUCACAAGAUUCCUUUUUUUUUUUUUUGUCCCAAAUAUUUAACUUAUAAUUGAGUCUGUCGACUAUUAAUACUUUAUUAUCUGGCAAGAAACUACAUAUUACGUACGUUUUUUUUAUAGUAGAAAAUAAGUGGAUGACUCAAAAAAAAAAAAUCACAAUAGCUUUUUCCUUUUUCUACUUGCUCACAAUUUUCUUCAAAUUUUUUAGUUAUAUAUAUAUAUAAUAAACACAAAUUAGAAAGUGUAGAUUUUAGAGUGUUGCUGCUUUUGGGAAGAUCAUCCUUCUAUUAUUAUUAUAUAAAAUAAUGUUUUAACAGAAACUCGUAAAAAAUAUUUCCGUAGACAAUGCCAAAAAAAAACAAAACAAAACAAAAAUAUACAAAAAUAUUUAUUAUUAAAAUAAAAAAAUCCCUCAAUCGCUUUCCCUUUAGCAAGUUGAGCCAUUAUUAUAUAGAAUACUAUACCAACUACUAGAUUUGCUGGGUUUUUUUUAAUAAUUAUGUACCAAUCUAAAAUAUUAUUGAUACUAAAGUAGGGACAUUGAAUAGCAUGCAUGUCUAGAUUUUCUUGGUCGCGAGGAAGAAAAGAAAUGAAAAAAAAAAAAAAACAGUUUUUGACCUACAAAUUUUAAAUGUUAACAAAAAUAAUUGGGUAUACCUUUGACCCUAGCUAGCUAGCAGCAGACUUAUUAGCCGAAGGCUCGAGCACAAAAAAUAAAACAAAUAAAAAGAG
rnacentral:lncRNA from 1 species